UCAUCGUGAAAGGGUUCAGUGUGACAAUGUCGACUACGAGCGUUACGGGUUGAUCCCUAUCCAUCGGGACGUCAACUCCUAGGCUUACAGCCAGAGAGGGAAAAUCACUGUCAUCUGGAGAAGCUCGUCCGGUAACACGGGGCGGCCCAUCUGCAGGUCCCCGCUGUUCCUAAAAGAAAGAUUAAGGAUUUGAGUUGGCCUGACGGAGAGAUCUUCCAGGCGGCUCCGGCCCAUGGAGGAUGCAGAGCAUCACAUCAGAUCAAACAUUGAUAAACCAGUACUUUACCAGCGUUUUAUCAAUAUCUUUAAAGGACGGGGAGUUUUUGCCACUGAAUUCAUAUCCAAAGGAGACUUUGUUGUGGAGUACCGAGGUGAACUGCUUACACAACAGGAGGGCGAGGUCCGAGCUGAUCAGUACAAUGAUUCUGCAAAGGUGUUUCUUUUCGAUUUCCAAUGGAAAGGAAGAACAUGGUGCAUUGAUGCAUCUGAAGAAGACUCCUCCCUUGGGAGACUCGUUAAUGAUGAUCACUAAAGACUCAAUCUCAAAAUGAAGGCCAUACAAGCAAACGAUGAGCCACACUUGUGCCUCUUCGCGACUCGAGAUAUUGCAGCUGGCGAAGAGUUGACUUAUAGUUACGGUGAUUCAGACUGGCCAUGGAGAACACAGGUCAUCAAAACUGAAUUGUCGUCCAGCCCAAAACCUAUGCUCAAACAAAUGCUUGGAUAUGAUUCUGAAGACUCAAUCAGCAGCAUCGAAAUAACAGAAGAUGAGUAUGUGUCAGGAACAGAAAGUGAAAGUGAGAGCAGCAUAGAU